rnacentral:tRNA from 1 species
AAGGGUUUAGCUUAAUUAAAGUGUCUGAUUUGCAUUCAGGCGAUGUGAGUUGUAAGCUUGCAGCCCUUA